ensembl:lncRNA
GACAGGAUCAUCUGGAUCCAUAGAUGGAACAACAGUGACCACUCAUAUGAGAGACCCAGAUGUUUCCACAGUGACCAUGACUGGACUAAGGUCAGAGGACAGUGGCUGGUAUUGGUGUUCUGAAGGGGACAUUCAGAUACCAGUAUAUUUAAAUGUUACUGAGAAACCGAUUAAGAUACAAGAAAAUAAAGAACACAGAGCUUCAUAUGACACAAAGAUCCUCAUCAUCCCUCUGAGUGUGUUGGUCUUGAUUUUAAUUAUGGUGUUGAUCUGGUUUAUACUGAGUCACAAGAAGCGCAAAGUAGAAUUAUCAGCGACAGCAAUGACUGGAGAGGAUGUAAGAUACUCUGAAAUUGGACUCAAAGAAAAUAGUUCACCCAGGGUGGACAAAGAAGUGAUAUACUCUGAAAUUAAACCUAAGAAAAAAAGUUCAACCAAGAGUUUAUUUGCUGAAUGUGACGUGGAACUCACGUAUAGUUCUGUUGUUAAGAAACAGCGCAUUAAAUGGGUAAAUAUUAAAAGACCUGAAGCCAACCACACACUAGAUGUCACUUCCCUUUAUCUCUUAAUUUGUUCAAUUAUUUUGCUUGUUGUCCUAGUGUUUCAUGAUUUCUUUUUUAAUUUCGUCACAUUUUUCUUAGCUUUUUCCCUAAUUG